rnacentral:rRNA from 1 species
AACGAACGCUGGCGGCAGGCCUAACACAUGCAAGUCGAGCGCACCCUUCGGGGGCGAGCGGCGGACGGGUUAGUAACGCGUGGGAACGUACCCUUUUCUAUGGAAUAGCCUCGGGAAACUGAGAGUAAUACCAUAUAAGCCCUUCGGGGGAAAGAUUUAUCGGGAAAGGAUCGGCCCGCGUUAGAUUAGAUAGUUGGUGGGGUAAUGGCCUACCAAGUCUACGAUCUAUAGCUGGUUUUAGAGGAUGAUCAGCAACACUGGGACUGAGACACGGCCCAGACUCCUACGGGAGGCAGCAGUGGGGAAUCUUAGACAAUGGGCGCAAGCCUGAUCUAGCCAUGCCGCGUGUGUGAUGAAGGUCUUAGGAUCGUAAAGCACUUUCGCCAGGGAUGAUAAUGACAGUACCUGGUAAAGAAACCCCGGCUAACUCCGUG